rfam:Ictidomys tridecemlineatus contig082028, whole genome shotgun sequence.
GUGCUUGAUUUGGCAGCACAUGUACUAAAAUUAGAAUGAUACAGAGAAGUUUAGCAUAGCCUCUGCACAAGGAUGACCCACAAUUCAUGAAAUAUUCCAUAAAAAAAAUUU